AUCCAUCUUCUCCCUAUAAAUACCCAUUGCCAUGCAUUCAUGUAAGAGACUCAUCCACCCUUCACCAUAACUUACCUAUAUCCAUCCACCACCAUAACCUAUCACUCAUCCAUCAUACCACACAUUGUGCCGCUGCAAAGAAGAAAAAGGAGGAUUGCUUGGAGUUGUGCUAGCCAUUCAAUUUGGAUUGUUGAAGCAUUCUAGGUGUAUUCUACUUUGGUUUUCAAUGUUUAAUUUCAAUUGUUAACUAAACCCCUUUUGGCUAGGGGGAAUUUCGAAACCAUGAACAUAUUUGUGUUAUGAAUUGAUUAAUUCCAGUUGUGAUUUCAUAAAGUGUGAAUGCAAUUUGCUUAACUGUUUUAUUCAAAACUUAUUCUUGUAUGUUGAUUAAGAAGGCCUACAUAGUUUGCAUGCUUGAAUUUGAUGCUAAAAUAUAAAUGAGUUUCACCUAAUCGUUACAAAUUUAUAUUCAUGAGUAGUGAAGGUUGCUAGUCACAAUCGCAUUAAUUGAAUUCUUGGCAAACAUAUCAUGCAUUCAUAGUUACGAAUGUCUCGUCAACACUUUUGAUUUUCAUGGAACGUAAUGAUCUCUGAUUGUAUCUCUAUUAUGCAUUCAUGUAGGGGACCUUUGGAGAAUGAUUUGGGUUGUCGCAUGCAUUCAUCCAAUUCAAUGAGUAAAGGAAAAUCUGAGAGUUAAUUAGUGCAUUACGGUUAAUCUGGGGUGUUGAGCUUUAUAAUUUAUUGAAAAGCAACUGGAAAUCGUUUCAUAAGCAAGUGUGUCAUGUGUGGAGAAGGAUCAUCUAGCUAGCCCAUCAUCCAUUUAAUUCACCAAAUUCGUCAAAAAUCUGUAUAGUUCUAGUUUAUGUUUUGUUUUACUUAAAAUUCGUUAGUUUUGUGUAUCAAAUUAGUUAGAAUCUAUCUUAGUUUGUGUUUUUAAGUGUUUUGAGUCAAGUUAAAACCAAUUUUCGUUCAAAGUCAUUCCUAGUGUCUAGUUUGAGUUUAUUAAUUGUUUUAAGCUGUUUUGUGACAUGCUUGAACUAGUGUUUGUGGAUUUUACGUUGUUGUAAUUUGUUUUAUGACUUGUAUUACAAACUACAAAAUUCCUAUGUUUUAUGAGCUUUAUGUAUGUUUUCUUGAACAAUAUUUCUCAUAAUUUUUCAAUUACCAUUCAAAGAUCAUCCAUGCAAAAAUUCAUUGAAAGCGAAAAUCAUGUAAUUACUAAUUGUGGCAUGACAAAUAGAAGACGACGAUGACAAAGUUGUCGAUAACAUAUAUAUAACUUUGCGUUCUAAUAUUAACUUGGAAUCUAUAAAAUUUGGUGUUAAUUGUAAUAUUUAGUGAUUAUUUACAUAAUAGUAGAGGAUCCUUAUAAGGUGGACGUACUAAUGAGAAUACAUCACAGAAAUAUGCUAUUAACUAAAUUCUAUAAAUACUAAAACCCAGCAACUGUUCUAAAGCACAAUGAAAUGACGGAUUUGUCAUCUUCAAACGUUCUUUUCUUUCAUUUAUUUUAAGGAAAACUAAUGAAAAAGGCUUGAAAACUUUUAGUUUUAAUGAUAAGGACAAAAUAAAGGGUAAAGUGAAUAGUACCAUGUUUGACUUUUUAGUGUAAAAAUGUGGUUUUGUUAAAGUGAACAGUACCGUGGGCUUUUCGUUAAAACUCCCUUUAUUUUAUGGGGGUACAGUGAAAAGACAAGAAUGCCCAUUCUUAGGAAUGGCUCGCUCGUGGCUUUCCUCCCCCACCAUUGCUUUCUUGCUUCAAUCCGAAUCGACACGUUCCCUGACCUUUUCCUUGUUGCUGCAAUUCGAAUCCACACGACAACCUGCUCAUCCAAAUCAAUUUCUGCACGUUUCAUUUGGCAACCCUAUUCUUCCACAUCGUUCUAAACCCAAAACCCAAAUCGUUGUUGCUCAUCCAAAACCCAGACAGCCGCCACCACCACGUUUUACAAAUUCCUCUUGACUGAAGGUAAGCGAAAAUUGCCCUCUUCAUCUCCACAAGUAAAUUUGAUUAUCUAUUAAUUUCCCCCAUUUUUUUUUUUGUUUCAAAUUUACAUCGAUUGCUAGGGUUUUGGAAGGGUGUAUGGGUUUGGGUAAUAUUCAUAAACCAGGUUGCACAGACACUUUGAAACUCCAAAGUGUCAGAGUUUGUUUUUAAUCCUCCAACAUUUGACGCAUUUUAGACUAGGUUGCAUGGACACUCCGACUCGCCCCUGACAUAGGUUGGACACAACCCGGCAAGGGUAUUUUUGUAAAUUUGAAAAAUAUUUUGAAUCAAUUUGGAAACAUUGAAACAUUUGGGGCAAUUUGAAAAUACAAAACCUAAAGCCUAACAACAAAGGAAAACUAAUGAAAAUGACUUGAAAACCGUGAGUUUUAACCAAAAACCAUGUAAUAACUUUAUUUAAUGGUUAGGACAAAGCCCAAUACUAAAUCAGUCUAAUUAAAAUGGCCCAAAUAUUGAGUUUACAAUUUUAUCCCUAACGGCAACCUUUUGUCCGUUAAUCUCUCUUCAUUAUGGAUCUCUCUAAUAUUUUCUCCCCCAUUUUUUCCUGACAUUCAAAACCUUCCAUUUUUCUUUCUAAUCUCGCAUAGCAACUCCAUUUCUAUCACUAUGUAAAAACUACAGCUUCGACCCCAAACCUAAUUUUGAGCCGUCUCCAUCUCUGUGAAAAUCAGAAACGAUCUCUUACAAGCAAAACGGUAUGAUUUUGUCACUCUCUCCCUCCCUCCCAAAAUUUCUCUCUCUCUCUCUCUCUCUCUCUCUCUCUCUCUCUUCUCUGUAAAGAUGAGCAAGGGAUCUGCACUUUCACCGACAUCGGCAAAAAAGCCAAAGGUGAAUUUUUGCCCUUCCCUCCUCAUUCAUCUGAUUAUUAACGUUUCAAUUUGAUGAAGAAGAAAAGAAGAUUUCGAGGUACUAUUUUUAAUUUUUCUUCUUCAGUGGAGUUCAUCAUUUGUUUCUCCAGGAAAUAAAUUUGAGAUUUGUUAGCUUUUUGUUCAGUUUUUUUUCUUUUCAGAUACAGUGUAUUUUUUUUUCCAGAUACAAUUUUGCCAACAUUUUUUUCCAGAAACAGUGUUAUGUUUUUGUUUUCUAGAAACAGUGUUAUAUUUUGGUUUUUUUUUCAAAUACAAUGUUUGUUUGUUGAUAGGAGCAUAUUUAUGCGACUUAGUUAGCUUGUUUCUUGGCAUUUAUUUAGUUAGUUUCUACUUAUUAUAGUGAUUUAAGCUAUUUUCGUGUGUUUGUAGGUUCAAAUGACAAAGUUGGCAAGAAAGUGCAUUUUGGUGCAGUUUUGGGCUGAAUUGGAGUGCAUGCAUGUGGGGCAAGUUGAAUGGACGUUUUUGGUGCUUAAAUGAGGUUAGGAACAUGCUACAAAUUUGGAGAAACAAAUGCAAGUUGCAAGAAUGGUUGGUGCACUCACCUAACCUACCAGAAAUUGAAUGGAUGGUGCACUUACCUAAAUUGAUGGAUGGUGCACUCAUCUAACUCACCUAAAUUGAAUGGAAUGUGCACUCAUCUAACUCACCUAAUCCAUCAUCUCCCUAUAAAUACCCAUUGCCAUGCAUUCAUGUAAGAGACCCAUCUACCCUUCACCAUAACUCACCUAUAUUCAUCCACCACCAUAACCUACCACUCAUCCAUCAUUCCACACCUUGUGCCGCUGCAAAGAAGAAGGAUGAGGAUUGCUUGGAGUUGUGCUAGCCAUUCAAUUUGGAUUACUGGAGCAUUCUAGGUGUAUUCUACUUUGGUUUUCAAUGUUUAAUUUCAAUUGUUUCUAUUUAAUUGCAAGUAUGAGGAACUAAACCCCUUUUGACUAGAGGGAAUUUCGAAACCAUGAACAUAUUUGUGUUAUGAAUUGAUUAAUUCCAGUUGUGAUUUCAUAAAGUGUGAAUGCAAUUUGCUUAACUGUUUUAUUCAAAACUUAUUCUUGUAUGUUGAUUAAGAAGGCCUACAUAGUUUGCAUGCUUGAAUUUGAUGCUAGAAUAUAAAUGAGUUUCACCUUAUCGUUACAAAUUUAUAUUUAUGAGUAGUGAAGGUUGCUAGUCACAAUCGCGUUAAUUGAAUUAUUGGCAAACGUAUCAUGCAUUCAUGGUUACGAAUGUCUCGUCAACACUUAUGAUUUUCAUGGAACGUAAUGAUCUCUGAUUGUAUCUCUA
rnacentral:lncRNA from 1 species